rnacentral:rRNA from 1 species
GACGAACGCUGGCGGCGUGCCUAAUACAUGCAAGUUGAGUGCUGAAGGUUGGUACUUGUACCAACUGGAUGAGCAGCGAACGGGUGAGUAACGCGUGGGGAAUCUGCCUUUGAGCGGGGGACAACAUUUGGAAACGAAUGCUAAUACCGCAUAAAAACUUUAAACACAAGUUUUAAGUUUGAAAGAUGCAAUUGCAUCACUCAAAGAUGAUCCCGCGUUGUAUUAGCUAGUUGGUGAGGUAAAGGCUCACCAAGGCGAUGAUACAUAGCCGACCUGAGAGGGUGAUCGGCCACAUUGGGACUGAGACACGGCCCAAACUCCUACGGGAGGCAGCAGUAGGGAAUCUUCGGCAAUGGACGAAAGUCUGGCCGAGCAACGCCGCGUGAGUGAAGAAGGUUUUCGGAUCGUAAAACUCUGUUGGUAGAGAAGAACGUUGGUGAGAGUGGAAAGCUCAUCAAGUGACGGUAACUACCCAGAAAGGGACGGCUAACUACGUG